AUUGAACGCUGGCGGCGUGCCUAAUACAUGCAAGUCGAGCGAACCACUUCGGUGGUGAGCGGCGAACGGGUGAGUAACACGUAGGUUAUCUGCCCAUCAGACGGGGACAACGAUUGGAAACGAUCGCUAAUACCGGAUAGGACGAAAGUUUAAAGGUGCUUCGGCACCACUGAUGGAUGAGCCUGCGGCGCAUUAGCUAGUUGGUAGGGUAAAGGCCUACCAAGGCGACGAUGCGUAGCCGACCUGAGAGGGUGAACGGCCACACUGGGACUGAGACACGGCCCAGACUCCUACGGGAGGCAGCAGUAGGGAAUCUUCGGCAAUGGGCGAAAGCCUGACCGAGCAACGCCGCGUGAAUGAUGAAGGCCUUCGGGUUGUAAAAUUCUGUUAUAAGGGAAGAAUGGCUUUAGUAGGAAAUGGCUAGAGUGUGACGGUACCUUAUGAGAAAGCCACGGCUAACUACGUGCCAGCCGCCGCAGUAACAC
rnacentral:rRNA from 1 species